AGCUGCCUACAAGCAAUCGAUUUUAAGGUAUCAUAUUAUUAAAUGUAUUUGUAGCUUAUGCCACUUCGACGAUAAGCAAACUCUUAUCAGUCGCCAAUGCGGUAGAUAACGAAUCCAAUUUCAUGUUUAACUCAACCUGCUAAGCAGUUCUCACUUGUCCGUCCACCGGUUGUGAUCGCAUAGUGAAGUCCUCGUUUAUUUGAUUUGGCUUUCGUGUUUUCUGAAGAAUGUUGCGAAUGACGUUUCGACCGAAAUUGCUACAUUUUUUAUACCUUGUGAUAUUUAUUUAUUUGUAUUUACUUCUCGAGCGCUUAAUACUGCAAAAUGAACGCCUGCGCGAUGAUCUCAAGCUGAAGCAGCGCCAAUUGCUCUACCCAAAGCCAAAUCCCCAUUGGAACUACAACAACAGCUGGCGGCGCAUUGGCAACGCCUCGCUGAGGCAUGAAAUAUAUUCUGCAUAUUUCGAUGCACGCACCGAUAUUGUAGGCACCGUUCGACUGGAUGAGGAGAUCACAGUUGGUUCGCUGCGUGUUUUUGCCAUUUUGCCGGAGCGACUGCGCGACUCGCGUAUCAGUUGCAUCGUGCGCUUCGCGGACUUCAGCAGCUAUGAGAUUGUGGCCGAGGAGGCGGGUGCCAUGCACGACGUGCACAACAAUAGCUUUGCGGCUUGGAGCAUCAUGUGUCCGCUGCAUCUGGCCAAGAGCACGCCUAUGCAGCUGCCACAGGCUGUGGCACUUAGCUACGCCUCCAAUCGCCUGAGUCACCUGAGCCCGACUUACGUGCAGAUCAGUUACCCACGAAAUAUGUCGGAGCUGUUAACGAAGUCGCGUGCCACAAUUUCCGUCUGCGUCGGUCCCAUCCAGGAGAACUACUCGAAUGUGCUGCGCCUGGUUGAGUUCGUGGAGAUGUAUCGAUUGCAGGGCGCGACGCACUUUUACUUCUACUACGUGGAGGCCAGCGAGGAAGUGCGUCGCGUGCUGGAGCACUAUCGGCAGAAGGGCCUGGCCGACGUCUUCGAGUGGAAUGUGCAGUCGCAUUUGCAGGAUCUGCACUACGCCGGAAUUGUGGCGCAGUUCAAUGACUGCGUCUAUCGCGCCAAUGUCGUGGACAACUAUCGCUACGCAGCUGUCGUCGACUUGGACGAGGUGCUGAUGCCCUUGAAGCACAACUCGCUGGCGGACUAUUUGCGCCAGUGCGACGAGGGCCGCACCUCGGGCUUUGUCUUUCGCAAUGUGUUCUUCUAUCGCAAGGAUAGCAACGAUACCUUCAAUGCACCGGGCCACACGAUGAAUCGCGUGCUCUACACGCAGUCGAAAGUGCGCCGCACGCUGGAGGUGCUGCCCGCUUACAUAAGGAGCAAGGUCGUCGUCAACACGCGCGGCAUUGUGGAGAUGGGCAACCAUCAGGUGUACCGCUCGGCACCCGGCUACGUGGAUCACAUAGUGCAUCAGACGGUCGGGCUGCUCUUUCACUAUCGCGACAAGUGCAUCAAUUGUAAAAUGGUGCUGAUUGUGGACUAUACGGCGCGACGCUUCGGUUCGCUGCUAUUCGAUCGCGUUGAUGCCACAUGCCUCGAGGUCUUCAUGCAGCGACAUGGCAUCUGCCAGCUGGCGUAGCCGCAACUGUGCCUUAUCACCGUUGGCGUUAACGCCCCUCGGAUUGAGCGCUGAGCGACGAGCGCCCCAUACAUUCACUGAUGUCCAGUCUGGAGUCAACACUUGCAACUGCAACAUGCUUAAGUUUUGUUCGCUGCGUCGCGGACAAUCGAAGUCGUCGCCGUCGCCGUCGUCGGCGCCGCCUCUGCCCACCAAGCGCGUCUCAAAAAGUUCGUCGUUGCGCCUGCAGAAUGUCGCCUUGAGCGACGCGCAGCUGUUAAAUGUGCUCAGGGCGCAGCGUGCGCGAGGCCCUCUAAUACUGGCGCUCAGCAGUGCACAAACAACAACAACAACAAUUGCUGAACAGGAAACGGAAGUGGCGUCUUGCCAGCAUUGCGGCACGCCGUAUUCAACCCGCAAAACCCAAGCACUACAAAAUGGCAGCGCAGCAGCAGCUG